rnacentral:tRNA from 1 species
GGAUGGAUGUCUGAGCGGUUGAAAGAGUCGGUCUUGAAAACCGAAGUAUUGAUAAUAACACCGGGGGUUCGAAUCCCUCUCCAUCCG